rnacentral:rRNA from 1 species
GACGAACGCUGGCGGCAUGCCUAAUACAUGCAAGUCGAGCGAACAGAUGAAGUGCUUGCACUUCUGACGUUAGCGGCGAACGGGUGAGUAACACGUAAGGAAUCUACCUAUAAGCGGGGGAUAACAUUCGGAAACGGGUGCUAAUACCGCAUAAUAUCUUCUCCCGCAUGGAAGAAGAUUGAAAGACGGCUCUGCUGUCACUUAUAGAUGACCUUGCGGUGCAUUAGUUAGUUGGUGGGGUAACGGCCUACCAAGACGAGGAUGCAUAGCCGACCUGAGAGGAUGAUCGGCCACAUUGGGACUGAGCCACGGCCCAAACUCCUACGGGAGGCAGCAGUAGGGAAUCUUCCGCAAUGGGCGAAAGCCUGACGGAGCAAUGCCGCGUGAGUGAAGAAGGCCUUCGGGUCGUAAAACUCUGUUAUAAGGGAAGAACAAAUUGUAGAGUAACUGCUACAGUCUUGACGGUAUCUUAUCAGAAAGCCACGGCUAACUACGUGCCAGCCGCCGCGGUAA